rnacentral:rRNA from 1 species
CCAGCACCCCGAGUGGUCGGGACGAUUAUUGGGCCUAAAGCAUCCGUAGCCGGUUUUACAAGUCCUCCGUUAAAUCCAACUGCUUAACAGAUGGGCCGCGGAGGAUACUAUAAGACUAGGAGGCAGGAGAGGCAAGCGGUACUCAGUGGGUAGGGGUAAAAUCCGUUGAUCCAUUGAAGACCACCAGUGGCGAAGGCGGCUUGCCAGAAUGCGCUCGACGGUGAGGGAUGAAAGCUGGGGGAGCAAACCGGAUUAGAUACCCGGGUAGUCCCAGCUGUAAACGAUGCAGACUCGGUGAUGGACUAGCUUUAUGCUAGUCCAGUGCCGCAGGGAAGCCGUUAAGUCCGCCGCCUGGGUAGUACGGUCGCAAGACUG